UACGUAGGGUGCAAGCGUUGUCCGGAAUUAUUGGGCGUAAAGAGCUCGUAGGCGGUUUGUUGCGUCGGCUGUGAAAUCCCGAGGCUCAACCUCGGGUCUGCAGUCGAUACGAGCAAACUAGAGUGUUGCAGGGGAGACUGGGAAUUCCUGGUGUAGCGGUGAAAUGCGCAGAUAUCAGGAGGAACACCGGUGGCGAAGGCGGCCAACUGGACCAUUACUGACGCUGAGGUGCGAAAGCGUGGGGAGCAAACAGG
rnacentral:rRNA from 1 species